rnacentral:rRNA from 1 species
CCUACGGGAGGCAGCAGUGAGGAAUAUUGGUCAAUGGCCGGAAGUCUGAACCAGCCAAGCCGCGUGAAGGUCAGUGCCCUAUGGGCUUUAAACUUCUUUUGUUCGGGAGCAAUAAUGGUCCCGUGUGGCCCGACUAGAUUACCCUACGAAUAAGCAUCGGCUAACUCCGUUCCAGCAGCCGCGGUAAUACGGGGGAUGCAAGCGUUAUCCGGAUUUAUUGGGUUUAAAGGGGGGCUAGUUGGGUUGUUAAGUCAGUUGGUAAAGUUUGCGGCUCAACCGUAAAAUUGCAAUUGAUACUGGCAGUCUUGAGUACAGUUGAGGUAGGCGGAAUUCGUGGUGUAGCGGUGAAAUGCUUAGAUAUCACGAAGAACUCCGAUUGCGAAGGCAGCUUACUAAACUGCAACUGACAUUGAUGCUCGAAAGUGUGGGUAUCAAACAGGAUUAGAUACCCCAGUAGUC